rnacentral:rRNA from 1 species
GACGAACGCUGGCGGCGUGCCUAAUACAUGCAAGUCGAACGAAGCUUUCUUUCACCGAAUGCUUGCAUUCACCGAAAGAAGCUUAGUGGCGAACGGGUGAGUAACACGUAGGCAACCUGCCCAAAAGAGGGGGAUAACACUUGGAAACAGGUGCUAAUACCGCAUAACCAUGAACACCGCAUGAUGUUCAUGUAAAAGACGGCUUUUGCUGUCACUUUUGGAUGGGCCUGCGGCGUAUUAACUUGUUGGUGGGGUAACGGCCUACCAAGGUGAUGAUACGUAGCCGAACUGAGAGGUUGAUCGGCCACAUUGGGACUGAGACACGGCCCAAAACUCCUACGGGAGGCAGCAGUAGGGAAUCUUUCCCACAAAUGGACGAAAGUCUGAUGGAGCAACGCCGCGUGAAUGAAGAAGGCCUUCGGGUCGUAAAAAUUCUGUUGUCAGAGAAGAACGUGCGUGAGAGUAACUGUUCACGUAUUGACGGUAUCUGACCAG